rnacentral:rRNA from 1 species
UGCAGUCGAACGGUACAGGAUGUGCUUGCACAUCGCUGACGAGUGGCGGACGGGUGAGUAAUGCUUAGGGAUCUGCCUCUGUGUGGGGGAUAACUAUUGGAAACGAUAGCUAAUACCGCAUAAUGUUUACGGACCAAAGGGGGCGUUUGCUCCCGCGCAGAGAGGAACCUAAGUGAGAUUAGCUAGUUGGUAAGGUAAUGGCUUACCAAGGCGACGAUCUCUAGCUGUUCUGAGAGGAAGAUCAGCCACACUGGGACUGAGACACGGCCCAGACUCCUACGGGAGGCAGCAGUGGGGAAUUUUCCGCAAUGGGCAAAAGCCUGACGGAGCAACGCCGCGUGAGGGACGAAGGCCUCUGGGCUGUAAACCUCUUUCGUCGGGGAAGAAAAUGACUGUACCCGAAUAAGAAGGUCCGGCUAACUUCGUGCCAGCAGCCGCGGUAAUACGAAGGGACCUAGCGUAGUUCGGAAUUACUGGGCUUAAAGAGCUCGUAGGUGGUUAAAAAAGUUGAUGGUGAAAUCCCAAGGCUUAACCUUGGAACUGCCAUCCAAAACUUUUCAGCUAGAGUAUGAUAGAGGAAAGCGAAUUUCUAGUGUGAGGUGAAAUUCGUAGAUAUUAGAAAGAAUACCAGUGCGAAGGCGGUUUCUGGAUCAUUACUGCACCUGAGGAACGCAAGCCUGGGUAGCAAGAGGAUAGAAUACCUCGUAGCCAUGCCGUACC